rnacentral:rRNA from 1 species
AUUGAACGCUGGCGGCAGGCCUAACACAUGCAAGUCGAACGGUAACAGGAAGACGCUUGCUUCUUUGCUGACGAGUGGCGGACGGGUGAGUAAUGUCUGGGAAACUGCCUGAUGGAGGGGGCUAACUACUGGAAACGGUAGCUAAUACCGCAUAACGUCGCAAGACCAAAGAGGGGGACCUUCGGGCCUCUUGCCAUCGGCUUUGCCCAGAUGGGAUUAGCUAGUAGGUGGGGUAACGGCUCACCUAGGCGACGAUCCCUAGCUGGCCUGAGAGGAUGACCAGCCACACUGGAACUGAGACACGGUCCAGACUCCUACGGGAGGCAGCAGUGGGGAAUAUUGCACAAAGGGCGCAAGCCUGAUGCAGCCAUGCCGCGUGUAUGAAGAAGGCCUUCGGGUUGUAAAGUACUUUCAGCGGGGAGGAAGGGAGUAAAGUUAAUACCUUUGCUCAUUGACGUUACCCGCAGAAGAAGCACCGGCUAACUCCGUG